rnacentral:lncRNA from 1 species
CCGGCGACUCACCCGGAAGGAGAAGCCGGAAUCUGCAUCUGGCUAUAUGGUUCGGUGCUGGUGGUGUCGCUAUAGAGAGCUGCUGCUGCUGCUCUCAGGAGCCAGCCGGGAUCGUUUGUUGGCAGUACAUAUUGGCUGAAGUCAGUUUUCAUUUCAAGAUGUUCUCUUCCGAUGGGCUUUUGGUGUAGGAUGUUGGAGAACCAAGAGCUGGAGGAGGUGAUCACCGUGCGAGUUCAGGACCCCCGGCUGCAGAAUGAGGGCUCCUGGAAUUCUUAUGUGGAUUAUAAGAUAUUCCUCCAUACGAACAGCAAGGCCUUUACUGCCAAGACCUCCUGUGUGCGACGGCGCUACCGUGAGUUUGUGUGGCUGAGGAAGCAGCUACAGAGGAACGCGGGCUUGGCCUGUACCAGAACUUCCCGGAAAGUCCACUUUCUUUGGCAGCUCUGAUGAGUUUAUUGAGAAGCGACGUCAAGGUCUCCAGCAUUUCCUGGAAAAGGUCCUGCAGAGCGUGGUUCUCCUGUCCGACAGUCAGUUGCAUCUCUUCCUCCAAAGCCAGCUCUCAGUGCCCGAGAUCGAAGCCUGUGUCCAGGGCCGGGGCUCCAUGACGGUGUCUGACGCCAUUCUUUCCUAUGCUAUGUCCAACUGUGGCUGGGCCCAGGAGGAGAGGCAGAGCACCUCUCACCUGGCUAAAGGAGACCAACUUAACAGUUGCUGCUUUCUUCCAAGAUCAGGAAGGAGGAAUUCCCCUUCACCACCUCUCAGUGAAGAGAAGGACCACGUAGAAACCUGGGCUCCAGUAAUCGACUCUGAAGGCCCAUCCUUAGACAGCCCCAUGCUGCCACCCAGCUCCUCGCCAGCCUGCUGUGAUCCGGCAAGACCAGAUGAGGGACUCUCUGGGUCCCAGCCUGCGAGAAGGGCUGUGGCAGGGGACCCUGCUGUGCCUUUGGAUCCUGGUCAGCUAGACACAGUGUGGGGAAAGUGAGCUGUGGCUGUUCUCUCUGUUCUCCUGGGUGGUGGAGAAGAUGCCGCCAGGGUCACAUUCAGGUGGGGUUGAGGACAGGGCGGGUGUGGGGAAGUCGGGUUGAGCAUCCUCCAUUCAAAUCUGCGCAGGUUUGUCAUGCAGAGGUUCUGGCUGCCUGCUACAGCUCCUCCAUGGGAACAAACACCACACUGGUGUUUGUGAGUUAGGUGCAGGGCCCAGAAGCUGUUGGUUUUAAAUAGAACUGUAUUUACUUUCCCAGGAGGUGAGUUUCUUCAGGUGUUUGUUUAAAGAGAACUGUCACAGGCGAAUGGUGAAUGUUGGAGAACCCCUUCGUGGUAGAUCUUUAGCUGCCAUGUUGGACAUUCCAUGUUGGACAUUGUCCCAACAGACAGUUCCUAUCGUUCUAUUCCCUUCUUGGCAGGCUUCCAUUUUUGCUGUAGCCCCUGGAGAUUUUGGUUGUGGGAGGCUGACCUCUUGCUUGCCUCCUUGUGUGGACAAGGUAGCAAAGAUGUAGUUGCCCCCUCCUUGCCUUGUGGCCACAAUGUGACUAUUUGCUGGGCUUUCCAGCAUCUUCCAAGACCUCACCAGGUUAAGUGGGGCCUGAGAGGUGUAGGCAGUUAAAGCCUAUCCAGGCAUGGCUGGCACAGCCAGAGGGAAAGGAACAGGUCGGAGGCGUUGCUUGGGCAGUCUGGGCUGCCCAUCUUCUGCUUAUAAAGUAGAGCUGGUGUUUCUGCAGGAUUGAAGUGGGCUCCCUUUUUCAGAUCCUUUUCUUCCUCUCUUAAUAACUCCAUGACCCCAGAGCUUUGACUGCCAGGGCCUACGGCUGCAUUCCUUGGAAGCUGCAAGUUCAGUCCAGUGGGGCCACAGGCUUUGUUUCGGCCGGGAAGUGAGGGCUGGGGAUGGAGGUAAGGAGACCUAAGCUGUCCUGCAGACAGUGCGGCUCCUGUCUCCUGCUGCUGAAUGGGCUCUGCAGAGAGCAGGGGCUGCUAGCUGGAGUGCUAGGGCGGGCUGAGUGCCGGGCUCACCUUGCCACUGCUCUGCUCUUAGGUUUGUGUGUGUGUCUCACUCUGGCCAUCCACUCCAGCUGUGCGGUCCACCUCAGCUGUGGCACUACUGGCCUGCAUUGUGGGACUGGCCUGGCAUUUAGUUCAGAGUCGAGGGGCUUUGGCCUGAAAUAAAAUGCAAGUAUUUAAGACUGUUGUUGCAAUUUGUGUCUAACAAGCUGUAGCAGGGAAGGAGGGAGUGAGAGCUGGCAGGAGUUACUUUCAUAAAUCAUGAAUUUAUCAGCGUGGAAAUAACACUGUAGACCUGUGCACUGGAACUCUCCUGCAUUAUGUGUGUGACUCAAGUUCACCACUGCAGGAGAGACGGUUUUCCAGAGAGCUAGGAUGCAGCUCUUCUCACAGAUCUGGGCAUGAACCUUGUUAGGUAUAAUUUACCUGAUGCUGCCUCCAUCUUGGAAGCCUGUCUGAGGUGCCAGGUGCUAAAAGAGAAAUAAAGUUUGUCAACAGGCAGAUGCAAAA